UCAUCUGGGGGAUAGUGCCCAGAAGAGGUUGGGGGACCAUCCCCACUGCCACUACCACUUCCCUCAUACCCUACUGUGGCAUCAUCACCAACUGUCUCUUCAUUCUGCCUGUUGCUAGUCUUCAGCCAAGUCUCUGAAAGUAUAAUCUCCCGAGCUCUGCAAAAAAUUCAGGAAGACCAGGCAACCGUACUGAUGAUUCUACCGCUGUGGCCCACACGUCUGGUUUCCGACAGCCCUCCACUUAGUCAGCAUCAACCAGUAAAGCAGCCUUGAAGCUUCCCUUGUCUACCAUCACCUCUACUGUUGGGUGGUCAAGAGAGUCCACCUUCACUAAAUUUUAUAAGAGACCUAUAAGCCGUUCUGGGCAUUUUUGUAGAGCUGUCCUCUCAUAGCUCUGUUUCUUUUUCUUGUAUACUGGUUCUCUCUUUUUGUAUUUUUGUCUAUGUUCAAGAUAUAAUUUUGUACAAGUUGAUUAUGUGUUUGUGUUGUACUUUACUCGUUUUUUGUUGCAUUGUUCUCCUUUUGGGAAAAUAGAAUGCUACUCGUACUCCGGGGUUUAUUGGACUCCGUUUUCCUUAUCCUUUGUUGGUAUAGUAGGUUUGAGGAACCUCUCUAAAGCUCUCGUUGACUACAGAGUGACGUCAGUUAAAUGGUAGUGAAGUGUAAUUGUAGAUUAAACGAAUACUUACCAAGUGUGAAGUUUGAUCAAGAUUUCACGAACCCACUGUGGUAGAAAACGCCCUCCCUGCCCAUCCCUUACCUCUUGUGACAAUUUCAUUCGUGACUAAAACUUGUCUACACACAAAAAUUUGGGCUGCUUCCUCAAACCUACACUCUAAAGGACUGACGUGGUACUAGCAGUGCGAGCAUCUCGUUUUCUACUGCAGUGACUCAGUUAAAUGGGUUCGUGAAAUCUUGAUCAAACUUCACACUUGGUAAUUAUUCGUUUAAUCUACAAAUUUUUGGGAUUAGGGUUUUAAUGUGUGUGAGGCCACAUCCUUACCUUCAUCUAUCCAUGAUACAUCUUUCCCCAAGUAUGCAUCAAGCAGUUUGUUGGUUAUGACCUUGAUCCGCAUGAUCU